GACGAACGCUGGCGGCGUGCCUAAUACAUGCAAGUAGGACGCAGUUGCGAACGGGUGAGUAACGCGUAGGUAACUGCCUAUUAGAGGGGGAUAACUAUUGGAAACGAUAGCUAAUACCGCAUACUAGUAGAUGGACAUGCGUUGUAUUAGCUAGUAGGUAGGGUAAUGGCCUCCCUAGGCAACGAUACAUAGGCGAGCUUGCGAGGUGAACGAGCACACUGGGACUGCGACACGGCCCAGGCUCCCUCGGGAGGCAGGCGGAGGGAAUCUUCGGAAAUGGGGGGAACCCUGACCGCGCCACGCCGGGGGAGUGAAGGAAGGGUUCGGAUUGGAAAGCUCUGUUGUUAAGGGAGCGGUACUUAACCAGAAAGGGACGGCUAACUACGUGCCAGCAGCCGCGGUAAUAC
rnacentral:rRNA from 1 species